rnacentral:rRNA from 1 species
GAUGAACGCUAGCGACAGGCCUAACACAUGCAAGUCGAGGGGCAGCACAUGAGUAGCAAUACGAUGGUGGCGACCGGCGCACGGGUGAGUAACACGUAUGCAACCUGCCUUCUACUAUGGGAUAACCCGUUGAAAGACGGACUAAUACCGUAUAAUACAGGGGCUCCGCAUGGAGAUAUUUGUUAAAGAUUUAUUGGUAGAAGAUGGGCAUGCGUAUGAUUAGAUAGUUGGUGAGGUAACGGCUCACCAAGUCAACGAUCAUUAGGGGUUCUGAGAGGAAGGUCCCCCACACUGGUACUGAGACACGGACCAGACUCCUACGGGAGGCAGCAGUGAGGAAUAUUGGUCAAUGGACGAGAGUCUGAACCAGCCAAGUCGCGUGAAGGAAGACGGUUCUAUGAAUUGUAAACUUCUUUUGUGCAGGAAUAAAGUGGGUUACGUGUAGCCUUUUGUAUGUACUGUACGAAUAAGGAUCGGCUAACUCCGUG